rnacentral:rRNA from 1 species
UACGGAGGGUGCAAGCGUUAUCCGGAUUCACUGGGUUUAAAGGGUGCGUAGGUGGGGAGGUAAGUCAGCGGUGAAAUCCCCGGGCUCAACCCGGGAACUGCGUCCGAUACUGGCAGGCUUGAAUCCGGGAGAGGGAUGCGGAAUUCCACGUGUAGCGGUGAAAUGCGUAGAGAUGUGGAGGAACACCAGUGGCGAAGGCGACUUUCUGGCUUAUAACUGACGCUGAGGCGCGAAAGCGUGGGGAGCAAACAGG